rnacentral:rRNA from 1 species
AUGUACUUGCAUAAACCAAGAGCUUUGAAUCAAGUCAAUAUCACACCUUGUAAAGUUCAGCUAAAGUUAAAAGUGGAGUGGCGUGUAAAAGAAGGACUUCUUUAUUUCCUGAUGGCACGGCUUACUUUUACAAACUUUGGUGAUGUGAAGGACAAAGCUUAUUUAAUUAAACCUACUACAUCACCAAGUUUGUCACAUAUAUCCAAGACGCCAAAUGACUUACGCUGUCUUCUUAUCCUCACUUUUCACUAUCAGUUGAAAAUGAUUUAUCGUGUUCUCCCAAGUAUGCUAAAGGCGGAUAACAACUGCCUUAAUAGGAUUUCUUAG